UACAGAGGGGGCAAGCGUUGUUCGGAAUUACUGGGCGUAAAGCGUGCGCAGGCGGUUUUGUAAGCCAGAUGUGAAAUCCCCGGGCUUAACCUGGGAAUGGCAUUUGGGACUGCAAGGCUAGAGUGUGGCAGAGGAGACUGGAAUUCCUGGUGUAGCAGUGAAAUGCGUAGAUAUCAGGAGGAAUACCGAUGGCGAAGGCAGGUCUCUGGGCUAACACUGACGCUCAUGCACGAAAGCGUGGGGAGCAAACAGG
rnacentral:rRNA from 1 species